CCUGUUUGAAGGAAAAGAACUUCUGUAGCUAACCUUUUAUUUAACCAAACUGGUUGUGUUGCUCUUCAGAGAAACAUCCUCGUAUCCUCUCAGAAUUAUCUUUCCCUUUCCUAGAAUUUCUGAAGCCUUUAUACCAAUAACUCUUACAUUAGAAUUUUAUUACAUCCGAAGAAAACCAUGCAAUGGAAGCUGUGAGAAAGGAAAACCGUGGCUUUUCCCAUCUGAAAAUGUGGUUUCCCAACCGGAAUGUUGCUGGAGGGCAGAGGGGACUAUUUUUCACUGGAUGGUGUUAGGAAAAGAUGAUAUUUUGGUUCCCAGAAAAGGAUGGAGACAACUGUGCUCUUGAGAAAAGGGGUGGAAUGGAGGACAGUAACAGGAGAAAUGUUGGAAAUGGAAGCUAAAUGUUGAAAAUUCAAGAGGACUGCAGAUAUGAAGCUUUCUGAGGAACUGAUUGCUGCAGCUGGGAUGUGGGUUUGUAGCUGCACUGCAUGGAUGUGUGGGAUUUGCGGAACUUUCAACUGUACAUUUAGAGAAGGACUAAACAUUUGGAGAAGACUGCUGAAAGGGUGGCAAGCACACUGCCUGCACUUCAGUUAUAUUUUCAGUCGUCGCUGGACACUUAUGUAAAGCUUCAACAAUCUUUUUCUUGUUGUUGUUUUAAUUAAACUUAAAGCAGUUCUGCUGCUCUCUAUCUACUGCUUUUUCUGAAAGCAGAUGAACUGACUGAAUACAGUGUUCUUUUCUGGUACUGAAUUAUAAUGCUUCAUAACAUGAGUCCACUAACAGAGUACUUUAAAUAAUGUCAACCUAGUUUACAGGGAAUCUAAUUCAGAUGGAUACAGCUUAAAUUUUACACAACACAGAUAGUGAUUUUUAUUUUUAUCCUCUGUUGUAAUGAAAAUUUGUACCAACAGUUUUAAACUUUUAAUCUAAGAAGGUUGUCAGUCCAAAGAUUGGUCAAAAUUAGGACAGAAGUAAAUUUCUGACCCUUCAGCAAAUCUAGAUAUCUAGUCCUGCAAAAACUGACCUGUAAUUGAAUAUUUUUAGGAAAUAAAGAUAGAAGGUGGCAUUGAGAUGACAGUUUAUAAAUUUUUCCUCCAUGGAAGCAGAGCACAUUAAAAUUGCAAGUGAUAAAGGUUCUUGUUUGUUUGUUUUUUGCCAUGCAGUAGGAAACAUUCUGAGUGACUCCAGCAUUGUUUUUCUCUUGUCAACAAGAUCAUUUGAAGAAAAAUAGUUGUGUUUCUAAAAUAAUAGUAUCUCCUGUCAAAGAACUGCUGAAUACUUGGUUCUGCUACAAGGAUUUUUAUGAGAGGAGCAAGAAUAAUUUAGAAACAUCAAGAAAAAACUGGCUAUGCUUGGAUGUUUAGAGAAUCUACACUGUCUGUUUAGAUAUAAAUGUGCUGUGGCAGUCAGGAACACUUGCCAAACCUCACUGCAACCAAACUCCACUUUACUUUAAAAGGCUUUAUUGUUUUUUGUUGUUGUUGUUUUUCUUUGUUUUGUCUUUUUUUUUUUUUUUGAGAGGAACUGACUCUGACUUAAUUUAUCAUAUGUCUUCUUCAUAAUCUGGGUAUUCAAAAAAUGAAGAUGAGUCUCAAAUAAGAGCUUAGGCCCUUAAAAUCCUUUACAGCAAUUCAGUUAUACUGCUAUGAAGUAUACGCUUACAUUUCUUUCAUAUUGUAUUUGUGUAUGGGCGGGUGUUCCAUGGCACGUAUAAAAGAUGGAGAGAAAGAAUGAAGAAGGAAUAGAGGAUUAAAAAACAUUCUAAAUUCACUUUAAAAUGCAUUGUAUCAAGUUAUAUUACUUAUGGGCAUUUUUCAAAUCCUGAAACUAGGCAUCCUACACCUUUUGAUAGUGUUUGCCUAGAAACGUGUAUAGCCGUUAACUACUUGAGGUUUUGCACUGACAGAAAACAUCAAAAAUUCCUAAUUGUUCAUACCAAUGCUAAAACCCUGCCUGAGUUUUAAUACUGACUUUUUCCAUAAACUUCUAUAACUCAGUGUCAGCACAGGUUUUUCUAGUUAUGUCUUGUUUUAUAUUCUAAUUAGGUAUAAAAAUAGGAAAAAAAAAAAAAAGCUAAUAAUACAUGCUCCUGGGUCUGCUUUUAUAAUGGCAUUUACUUCUCUCUUCAUUGAAGGAAUCUACAUUAUUAUGGUCUCCUUGACACCUUGAAAGUAUGCUCUUACAACUCUCUGCUAAAUACACAGUAUCUUGGAUGUUUUUCAGUAUCUGCAUAUGGUGUUUUUGUUGGUGGUGGUGUUGGCAGUGUUACCGUUAAAUUGGCAAUAUCCUGAGACCUCUAAAAGUGUUCCCAAUCAACAUUUUCUUUCUGAUGGAAAUACUAUUACUUUUAUAUUAUAAAAGUUGGUUGGUUUAAUUUGUUGCUUCGUCAGCAAGAUAUCUUCCUGUUGUUUUUUUUAUUUAAUACAAGAAUAUCUUUUGUUGCCUCUAGCGGAAGAGAUACAAUACUGUUAACCAAUAUACAUACAAAUGAGAUUGCAGUUCUGUAAUUCAAAAGCUAAGCAUAGUGUAAUUAUGACGUAUGAAUUGGAUAUUUAUGUUUAUCUGAGCACAAAUGUAUCCCAAUGACUGAGUUACAAAUCAGUACCAAUUUAUACAAGUCAAGGCUUGGUUCUCAACUUCAAACAGCUGCUAAAGGAAGAGAUGAAAUUUAUGAAGGUAUCUGACAAAAACUCAGAUACUGGCAAAUUGUAGAUGCUUUCAAGCAACAACCAAAUUCUUUUGCCCGUGUAUUUUACUCUGACUUUUAUCAGUGUAAAGGUAUUACAUUAUUCCCUCUGAAAAUAGAGAUAUCUAAGGAAGACAAAGUAAGGGAAAAAUCUAUAGCCGAAUCUAUUAUUUGCCUCUUGCCUAAAACAAGAGAAAAGCUCAUUGCUGCAGUGGUCUAAUGAGCCCAUCUGUGUUGGCCCUCAACUCUUAAUGAAAGAGUUGAGCUCUCUCCAGUCACAAAUAUGAUUUCUAGAGCAAGACACAAAGGUAAUAGAUUUUACUUUUGAUUCCACAAGAAAACUUGGAGCAUUCAAAACUUGAGCAUGUACAGAGCAAAUUGGCUUGGAGAGAAUGAACAAAGGUAGGGAAGGCAUUUUACAAUUAAUGUAGAAGUAGACUACCACCUAAAACUUUACUUGUUUGGCCAGUUCAGGUUUCAGUGAUCUUGGGUAGUUCCCUAUUCAUUCAUAAAAUGAUCGUUUUCCCUGUUGAGGAUAAAUUUUGAAAAUAAAACUGCUGUAAAAUAACUCACGGAGAUAGUGAUAAAAUGUGAGGGUGAUAUGGUUCAAGAAGGGUUAUGCUUAUAAAAAAUAUGA